rnacentral:rRNA from 1 species
UAAUUCGAUGCAACGCGAAAAACCUUACCACUUCUUGACAUGGAGGCUAGAUCCUUCUUAACAGAAGGGCGCAGUUCGGCUGGGCCUCGCACAGGUGCUGCAUGGCUGUCGUCAGCUCGUGUCGUGAGAUGUUGGGUUAAGUCCCGCAACGAGCGCAACCCUCAUCCUUAGUUACCAGCGGGUAAUGCCGGGCACUUUAAGGAAACUGCCAGUGAUAAACUGGAGGAAGGUGGGGAUGAUGUCAAGUCAGCACGGCCCUUAUGGGGUGGGCUACACACGUGCUACAAUGGCGACUACAAUAGGUUGCAACGUCGCAAGGCUGAGCUAAUCCGUAAAAGUCGUCUCAGUUCGGAUUGUCCUCUGUAACUCGAGGGCAUGAAGUCGGAAUCGCUAGUAAUCGUGGAUCAGCAUGCCACAGUGAAUACG